rnacentral:pre_miRNA from 1 species
AGGAGGAACAACCCCAGUGGCGGGGCCAGCUCUGGAAACCUGGAUUCAGCUCCCGCAGGAACUACUCCUGUCUGCAGGGCCUGGAGGCUCCGGGGCGGG